GAUCAUGGCCAGGACGAACGCUGGCGGCGUGCCUAACACAUGCAAGUCGAACGGAACGUGUUUUGAAAGGAUUUCUUCGGAAUGAAUUUGAUUUAGUUUAGUGGCGGACGGGUGAGUAACGCGUGAGUAACCUGCCUUCAAGAGGGGGAUAACGAUUCUGAAAAGAAUGCUAAUACCGCAUGAUAUAUCGGAACCACAUGGUUCUGAUAUCAAAGAUUUUAUCGCUUGGAAGAUGGACUCGCGUCCGA
rnacentral:rRNA from 1 species